AGUGAACGCUGGCGGUAGGCCUAACACAUGCAAGUCGAACGGCAGCACAGUAAGAGCUUGCUCUUACGGGUGGCGAGUGGCGGACGGGUGAGGAAUACAUCGGAAUCUACUUUUUCGUGGGGGAUAACGUAGGGAAACUUACGCUAAUACCGCAUACGACCUACGGGUGAAAGCAGGGGAUCUUCGGACCUUGCGCGAUUGAAUGAGCCGAUGUCGGAUUAGCUAGUUGGCGGGGUAAAGGCCCACCAAGGCGACGAUCCGUAGCUGGUCUGAGAGGAUGAUCAGCCACACUGGAACUGAGCCACGGUCCAGACUCCUACGGGAGGCAGCAGUGGGGAAUAUUGGACAAUGGGCGCAAGCCUGAUCCAGCCAUACCGCGUGGGUGAAGAAGGCCUUCGGGUUGUAAAGCCCUUUUGUUGGGAAAGAAAAGCAGCAGGUUAAUAUCCCGCUGUUCUGACGGUACCCAAAGAAUAAGCACCGGCUAACUUCGUG
rnacentral:rRNA from 1 species